rnacentral:tRNA from 1 species
GCCUGGGUGGCUCAAUCGGUUGAGCAUCUGAUUUCAGCUCAGGUCAUGAUCUCGCAGUUUGCGAGUUUGAGCCCCGCAUGAGGCU